rnacentral:rRNA from 1 species
AUACGAAGGGGGCUAGCGUUGUUCGGAUUUACUGGGCGUAAAGCGCACGUAGGCGGAUUGAUCAGUUAGGGGUGAAAUCCCGAGGCUCAACCUCGGAACUGCCUUUAAUACUGUCAGUCUAGAGACCGGAAGAGGUGAGUGGAACUCCUAGUGUAGAGGUGGAAUUCGUAGAUAUUAGGAAGAACACCAGUGGCGAAGGCGGCUCACUGGUCCGGUACUGACGCUGAGGUGCGAAAGCGUGGGGAGCGAACAGGAUUAGAAACCCUAGUAGUCC